rnacentral:rRNA from 1 species
CCUACGGGCGGCAGCAGUGGGGAAUUUUGGACAAUGGGCGCAAGCCUGAUCCAGCUAUUCCGCGUGUGGGAAGACGGCCUUCGGGUUGUAAACCACUUUUGUAGAGAACGAAAAGUCUGUUGAUAAUACCGAUAGAUGAUGACGGUACUCUAAGAAUAAGCACCGGCUAACUACGUGCCAGCAGCCGCGGUAAUACGUAGGGUGCGAGCGUUAAUCGGAAUUACUGGGCGUAAGGGGUGUGCAGGCGGUUUUGCAAGCUGGAUGUGAAAGCCCCGGGCUUAACCUGGGAAAGCCAUACAUGACUGCAAGACUAGAGUGCGUCAGAGGGGGGUGGAAUUCCAAGUGUAGCAGUGAAAUGCGUAGAUAUUUGGAAGAACACCGAUGGCGAAGGCAGCCCCCUGGGACGCAACUGACGCUCAUACACGAAAGCGUGGGGAGCAAACAGGAUUAGAUACCCCGGUAGUC